UGUUGGUAAAGCUUCCAAAAUAUUACCUAUCUGUUGGGAUUAUAAAUCCCCUGUCGGAAAAGUAUAAGCAUAGAAGAGUAAAUAUAAGUGGUUAGAUUGCUAAGUCAUUUUGAUGUGUAAAGAAAUCUAAUCACUUGUAUAAGCUCGAAUUAAAAAUGAAUUAAUUGUAAUUUGAUCAAUACUCUCUUCAAAUUUAAUUUGAUAACCUUGAGGAAGGAGUGUUUGAAUUAUGGAAUUAUAAAUCUCACCUAGGUAAAAUAUAAACAUAAAAAGGUAAAUAUAAGUGAAAGUACAAAUCAUGUAGCUAGUUAUUUUGAUAUGUAAAGCAAUUUAAUUCUUGAAUUAAAAAUCAAUUAAAUUGUAAUUUGACUAACACAAUAACACUCUUUCCAAAUUUAAUAACCACAUCGACAACAUCAGCUUUUAUAUUCAAAAACAUGAAGAAAGGUCAAGAAUGUGAAUUUCAACUAUAUAAUUCUUUAGACAUCCUAACAUAUUUGAUUGCAUUCAAUGUUUGGCAGGUAAAAGAAUAAGGAAGGAAUACAAGGCAAAUUAGCAAUAAAAAUAAUAUCUACGAAUCCUUUUUUUACCACCUCAUUAGAUGGAUCUUCCAUUUUCUUCUACCAGCCACUGGCACAUUCAACUCACAUUGCUUAAAAUUUCUCUCAUUAACUACAAAAUAAACUUACCAAGAAUGCACUUUUCAAAUGGAAUUCUUUAAACUAACUUGCUAAAUUAUUUACACAAUAAUUUUUUCAUUGUCCAAUUAAAGGAUAGCUAACUAGUAAAUCUGUACAAAUUACAUAAUUGGAAAUUUGGAAAUGAUAAAGAAUAUCAUGCAAAUAUGGUAAACUAUAAACAACCUAAAUUGAUAUAUAGAUAGCUGAAAAAUGAAAAAUUAAUGUAUAACUACAUCAAAGCGAAUAGAAUGCACCACGAAAUCAAAGAGUACACAAGAAUAUUAAGAUUAAGAUACCUAGAACUCAGUUGACUGGUAAGUAGUAUAUUCAUCAAAAAAAUAAUAAGAAAAACUCCCUUCAUAUUAGUACAACACAAAAUUAGAUAACGCAAAGUACAUCAUCACUACAUACAUCGCAAGGCAGAUGUCAAAGAGAAAGCCAUUUGGCUUAAAUGAAGGGGAUAAAGUGCAGGGAUGAUGUAUUCAUGGUUGAAUAAGACCUCAAUUGACAUCUCAUGAACAGGAAAAAGGAGGAAAACUGAUAAUCUAUCCUGAAACUCCAGAAUUCAGGCUCUAAAUGUACCCAAGCAUUGAAAAGAAGAAUGCAGUUGUCCACAAUUCCACAUAGCACUAAAAAAUUGUUUAUUGAAGUAGUACAUUGUCCCUUCACUAGCUGCCUUAAUCACUGUUGCUUGAGUAUACACGUCAAAUACAAUGUAUUUAGCUGCAACUCAUACUAGUUUGAGUUUUGAAAGUAUUUGGCCCGAUACAUCAGAUUCAUACACCAGCAUUCGUCUUCAUAUCCUUUUAACAUAAGGGAUUGCAAUGUUUCAAACCUGAAACCAGAUCGGACUGUUGAGCCGCCGCAACCAUCAACAGAUUCGAUCUUGGCUUUGCAGACUGCAGGUUUUUGGAGCAAUUCAAACUGCAUGUAAAAUAUUUCUUAAAUAGUUUUAUUUGAAAGAUAUAUUAUUCAAAACAUUUUUAUUCAAU
rnacentral:misc_RNA from 1 species